UUUUUUUUUUUUUUUUUGUAGAGAGGGGGACUCACUAUGUUACCCAGGCUGGUCUCAAACUCCUGGGCAAGCAAUCUGCCUGCCGCGGCCUCCAAAGUGCUGGGAUUACAGGUGUGAGCCACUGUACCCGCCUCCUUGAAGAAGCUGUAACCACAAAGUGCUUAUCUUUGCAUUUCAUAAUGCUGGGACAGACGGAAAACAGACAAGUUAGAGAGAGUGGGACUGCAGGAGGUGGUUCAGGCAGGAAAUAAGGAGCCUGGGACAGUGGGAACAGCCAGAGGCUGGAGGGAGGCCUCAUCCAUGCUGAGGGUGAGAUCUUUUGGGUCCUGACCCUCUCACAGGACACUCAGGAUCUGCUGGCCCAGGGAGACUCACUAGCUCUCCUGGACUGUGCCUCUUCUCUGGGGGCAGGAAAGCCCUAGCCGCUCCUUCUGACUGCCUCUUUCUGCUGCCUCCCAGCUGGGUUAGUCCCUGGCUGCUGAUCUCUCAGACCCUCUUGAUCCCUACUCCCUCCACCCCAGUGCCCAAGGGACUGUGCUGUACAGCCUUUGUUCCCCUCCACCAUAGUGAGUGUCUGCAAGGUGAAAACUCCUGAGGCACAGUACCCAUUUCCACGAGGAGCCACUCCCAGCCCCUGGCUGCCCAGGCCUCUGGCUGCUGAGGUCCCUGCCCAGACAUGCAAGACUCUUUUCUGUUUUUUCACCCUCCUCCCAAGGCUGCUAGCCAUGGCUCCCACCUGUCCCCUGCGCUGAGCUGGGCCUCCCGAUUUGGCCAGGGUGAGCACAACUGAGCCUGGAUGUGGUGAUGUGGGGAUGCCGUGUGGCUGGGUCCCAGCUGACGGGGUGCAACGGGAACUGUGGUGAAGAGGGUGCCCAGAGCGGGUGCUCAAGGUAGCAUGGGAGAGGGCUGUCAUCAGAUACCGUAAAUAAUACAGGAAUCAAAGUUCAGAGAGGCCACCUGGCCUCUUCACCAUGUGCAGAUCCCAGGGGCUCACUGGGAAGGAUACAGCUGGGGACUGUUAAAGGCAAGACCCUCGAUCUCCAGGAGCCGCUAGUCCAAAGGUAGAGAGCAGAUGUUCUGCUGGGCAUGACCAUUCCAGAGAAGAGGCACAGAGCUGCAAACUGCUAGAACUGGAAGGACCCCUGGGCUGUACCAGGCCUGGGGACACAGCUUAAAGUUAAGUUCAAAGUCCAGCCAGAAGAGGUAAACACAGCUGGGGCCCCAUGUGAUAAAGUCUCUGGCAGAAGUCUGGAGUGCAGUGAGGCCCGAGUUAGCGUUCAAAAAUGGGCCUUGCCUUCCAUUCACAGUUGUCCUCAAACAUCGCAGGCUGUGGCUCUCAUUAACCUUCUGGAAGCGGGGGAUUCCGAAUACCUAGACUCUGAGUCUGAAUGGCCUCAAGGGUUUUCAAGAAAUGAUUUAAGGACAAGCUCUGUGAGUAUGAUUGCAUCAUCCAGAAAUGUACCAGAAUACUGAUUUAGUAUUGUUUUUCCUUGUUCGGAAUUUCAAAACUUGAAUUUCCUGCUUUACUUCACUUCAGGGGGAAUCCCAGACAUUUAAAGCAUGAGCUCUUCACUUAAAAUACCACGUAACCGAUUCUCUCCCAAUCCUCAUCUAUGUCUCCAGCCCUGAGGUUUUCCUUUGCUGAAAUCAGUCUGUGGAACGGUUUGGGGUCUGCCUUUUCACAUAGCGUUCCCGCACACACACAUUAAACACACUUAUUAAACACACUUACUGUAUUUAACGGCCACGCGGGGUUCCGUCAUGUGCCCUGUCCUAGUUUUCAGCUUGUGUUUCAGCCAGUGACUCUAUGGCUUUGGGUAAGCCUAACCUUCUUCUGAGGCUACAGAUAAGCCUCACCUUAUCUGUAAAACACGAUGAUUUGGAAGCUCUAACGUCCUUUCCAAGCCUUAAAAUUUGUGGGGGGUCUAUGAUUUCCUAGCUGUAGAUCCUAAAUUGUGACCACACAAUAACAAUCCCUAGAAGGGAAAGAGACUCAACAUCUAUUGAAAAUUCCCCAUACGGCGGGAAGGCACUGAGCAGGAGAUAGGUAGGAAAAGUGACACCGCGGCUUGCCAGCAAAAACACCAUCAGAGGCCCCGCUAGGUGAUCUCAGACCCCUUUGUUCCCAGUCCGGCCUCUGGUCUUUGUCCCAUU
rnacentral:lncRNA from 1 species